UACGGGGGGGAGCAAGCGUUGUUCGGAUUUACUGGGCGUAAAGGGCGCGUAGGCGGCCACCGCAAGUCGACUGUGAAAUCUCCGGGCUUAACCCGGAAAGGUCAGCCGAUACUGCGGGGCUAGAGUGCAGAAGGGGCAACUGGAAUUCUCGGUGUAGCGGUGAAAUGCGUAGAUAUCGGGAGGAACACCAAUGGCGAAGGCAGCUCGCUGGGACGUUACUGACGCUGAGACGCGAAAGCGUGGGGAGCAAACAGGG
rnacentral:rRNA from 1 species